UACGGAGGGGGCGAGCGUUAUUCGGAAUCAUUGGGCGUAAAGAGCUCGUAGGCGGUUUGUCGCGUCUGCCGUGAAAGUCCGGGGCUCAACUCCGGAUCUGCGGUGGGUACGGGCAGACUAGAGUGAUGUAGGGGAGACUGGAAUUCCUGGUGUAGCGGUGAAAUGCGCAGAUAUCAGGAGGAACACCGAUGGCGAAGGCAGGUCUCUGGGCAUUAACUGACGCUGAGGAGCGAAAGCAUGGGGAGCGAACAGG
rnacentral:rRNA from 1 species